GGGAGAUCAUGUAGGAAUGUAGCGAACUAGUGUUGAUGAAUCACAAACGUAAACUGCAACUAUUAAAACAAGACUGAACUCCAAGAAGGAGCGACAUGAGGCAUCAAAAUGUCCUGAUCCCUAAAAGAUAUGUUGGUGUGCCCCUCAAAGCCCACUCUGCAGUCAUGGCAGCAUUUUGCGAGAGAGGUCAGUGUUAUCUAAACACACCCAUUGGGCUAUUUGCUAUAGCACCCUCCAUCAGGCGGGAAGCUCUGAGGAAUCGGCCCAUCACUUCAAUCAGCCGCAGCCGCAUACGAUGAAUUUGUAAUGGCAGCAGGGUUACAGAGGACGAGCAAAGAUGGAGAAUAAGCGAGGGUCGAGAGUACUUUCAGCAUGUUUACGAGCCCCGUGUGCAUAGAGAAGCGGCGAUCUUAUCACUGUUCAGAGGGCAUCCCCCAGAAGAGUGACCGGGGAGGUGGGGUCACACCUCGGAGCAAGCCUGUCAAGGCCUCCACCCACUCAAACAACAGCUCCAAAGCCCAGGGAAAAUGGUAUUGUAGCCAGGGCAAAUAUUGUCUUGUCGCGGCUUAAGGGGCCCAAAAGGCUGUUUGUCUAAAAAACUUCACUCUUUAUUUUUACUUCCUGUGCGUUUCAAGGGCAGAUAGGGGGAGGAAGAGACAUUCAUUAAUGUGGCUCUCAUUUCUCACACAAUCAAAUUAAUUUAUUUUCAUAAAAUAGUCAGGGUCAGGUUGAGAUCAGCCUGUUGAAUCUCUACAAGCCAUUUUAAUAUUUACUUUACAUUACAAUAUUUACAUACCCAUCCUUGUUUAGCAUUAUGUUAUAAUACAUAGUAAUUCAUACAUUUAAGAACACAUUAAUUGAAUUACACUGAGAUGUAUUGGUAUAUUUGGACAUACUGUAGUUUUUAGAAUCAUCACAAUAUUAGGGAGUGUCAACUUAGAGAUUGAAAAGGCAAUAUUGUUCAGUUUUAAUAGGUAUUCAUUUAACAAUAUUUUUAUUGCAAUUAUGUGUGUAUUCUGCAAUGCAUUGUUACAUGCGUCUAAUAUUUUUGUGAUCUUUAACUGUCAUUGCUUGGCAAAGUGGCUGAAUACAUGUAUAUGCGUAUUAGUUAUUACCACCUGAA